UCACCUCGAUAAUUCGAGCUUUGACAAAACAACCUAACUUCAAACCUCCACAUAUCAAACCCCUAAUUUUCCUCUCUCUUUCCAUAUAAACAUAUUACUUUAGCUUGCAUGCACACUAGCUAAUUCCUUUGCAUGAUAACAACCGGGAGCAUUUGCUCUUAUUUAUACUCUCGACCUCUCUAUGCGUGCGGAGGACAUGAGAGAGUUUGAGGGAAAAAGAGAAUGUAAAGAUAGAGAGAGAAGGGAGCUUUAAAAAUAAUCUUUUAUGUAUAAAGUCGGAGGCCAGUUUUGGUGUCACCGGGUUCGACAAAAUGAAUUGGACAAAACUGCCCCUCGGCCUAAAAAUAAAAAUAAAAAAAAAUGAAAAAUGAAUGCAUAAAAUAACUCAAGGGUAAUUUUGUAAAUUUAUUUUAUUUUUUAAUAAUGCUCUGCUUGUUCUACAGUCUUCCACACCUCUCGACCCAGUUUCCUUCUUACCUUCUUGACCCAUUUUCGGAUUGGGUUUCUUUAUCUCCCAUCUCUGCUCUCUUCAAUCUCUGCUUCGCUCUCUUCAAUCUUUGCUUCGUGAUCUCUUCCAUCUUUGCUUCUUCCGUGAUUUCUUCUUUUCUGGCCGAGUUCUAUUCGAAUUGAAAACCUGGCAAGGCGUUUCUACUAAUCUGUGCACAAAUUUGACAUAGUUUCAUACUUCCAUAGUAUAUAACCAAUUUGCCGCCUACUGCCCAUCUGUGCACAAUAGCAUCUGCCUAUUCAAUUUUGUAUGCACAAAUAUAAAAGUUUAAAACAAGAUAUAUGUAAAAAAACAUCACUGCAAAGGUUCAUAAGGGUUUGUCCUGCAUAAAGGUUCAUAAGGGUUCUACCACAAAUUAGAUCGCCGAAUGAAGCGAAGAAGUAUAUUUAUGCUAAAUAAAUGAAACUCAAAUAAAUACUCCAAAACUUUGUCCUGCAUCAUUAAAAUAUAUAACCUCUGAACCUCUACAAAUCCAUGUGCUAAGUUACUCAUUGGUACUACUAGUAAACCAUGAUCAUUGGUUUAAGUUCUGAUUAUUUGCUUUCUCUUUUAACUAAAUUGCAGCAAUUGUAGAUAAUAAAACCUUAAUCGAUAAUGACGACGUUGAAAAUAAGAGCAAGCGACAAUCCAAUCCAGAAGGUAUACUGUUAUAUUUCUUGUGGAUCUUAAUUUUCAUAUGCAUUAUAAAUAAUGAAUUACUCCAUCUCUCAUUCAUCUAUUUACCACACCUAGCUGUAAAAACAAUGAAUUGCUAGAUAAGCAUUAUAACAAAACCUAGUGCAUAAAACUUACAUCUCAUUGUCUAAUACAAAAUGACCAAUGUCACGUACUGAUAAGCAAGUGAGAAAUCAAGCCAAAAAAGGAAUGGUUUUGCCCUUCGAGCCCCUUUCACUUGCAUUCAACCAUAUGAACUACCACGUGGAUAUGCCUCUUGUAAGUAACUUUGCGUCUAUUUUCUUUGAUAUGCUAAGCUAAAUUCAAGAAAUCAACGUGAGGACUUAUAAAUUAACAAUGCAUUAAACGAAAUGAAAAAAUUUUUGCUCAUUGGUUAAGAAGUGACUAUUUUAGUCUUGCAAUCGAUCAUACAUAUGAUGCAGGAAGCAAUUCCUAGUAUUAGCAGUUAAAAUGGGUUUGUACUUCUGAAUUUUAGACCCUAAAAUCAAGUUUAGCAAAAACAGAGAAAUACCAACAAAUAAAAAAUUGAAGAAGGAGAAGACAGAGAUAUGUUGACGUCUCACCUUAAGUUAGUAUGGCUUCCGCAGACGAUCCCAAAACUGAAUAGAAGUGAACUCUGCAAACAAAAUUAAUUCCAAACCAUAAAUUAAAUUUCAAAAGGAAGACAGAAAUUAGAUUUCAAAACACUAAAUUAAUUACCUAAUUUGGGAUCGAGAGUUCUAUGACUUCUGUCUGUGAGAGAAAAUCGCCCCGAGAGAGAGAGAUCGCGAGAGAGAGCGGUGGUGUGGCGGUGGCUGUGUGGUGAAGGAAGGCUGGAGAGUCAGAGACGAUAGUAUGGUGUAGUGGUGGGCUGGUGACUGGCCGGAAUUCGACACAGAGAGGGUUAAGGGCUGGAGAUGAGCGCUCGGUGAGGGAGGCUCAAGGGCUGCGUUCGAGUUCGAUGGAAUAACACGGAAGUGAAAUGUGAGAAUGGAGAUCAGACCUAAAAACAAAC
rnacentral:lncRNA from 1 species